rnacentral:lncRNA from 1 species
AACUGUAGAUGUAACUAUCCAAGUAUCAUUUUCCUUAGCAUCCUCUGUCCUUUUCUUGUUAUCUUUCUCUGAAUUUCUCUUUUACCUCUAUAAGUGCAUAACAUAUGGUAUUUGAGCGCAAAUAGAGUAGGUAAUCGCAAGCAUAUGCAAACCCAAUAUGCAAAGGAUCAUAUUUGUUACAGAGAGAAGGAUACCUCUGCAGUCACGACAUUGCAAAAAUGCAAAGAAUCAUAUAUCUGCCUCUUUUCCAUAUAAUGCCAAUGUGUUCCAUAUUAAAUAAUUAAACAACCUGAAGGUAGCAAUGUGCACGACAUAACAGAGAAAUUCCAAUAAGGCAAUAAAUAACUUUCAUAAGAACACAUAUCUAGAGAGUGACAAAGAAAGAAUUAGGCCACAUCACUUCCAACAGGAAGAAACCCAAAAGGGAGUGGGAAGGAACCUAACCUACAUAGUCAACAACACAGAUGACCCAACAACUAACCCUGCUGAAGCAAGAAGGUUAAGAUACAAGGAGUGGUAAACUCAGAGUCAUUGAACAAAGAGAUUUAGAUGGUUCAAGGAAGUUUAAUCUAAGAAGGGAUAGAAUAAACCAUAACAUCAAAAUAAAAAUGUACGAACAAACGUGGAUGAGAGAGAGAGAAAGAACUCAUCCUAUUCCCCAUCACCAAACUCUUCGUCGGGAUUCUUUCUCUGCUUUUCAGAUUUUCAUACAUCAUGCCUAGGAAAACAAUAAACCCAACAUUGAAAUCAAAUAAUCAAAGAACCAAAAAAAUAGGGGGAAGAAGAUGGCGAGACGCAGAUGUGCAACCUAAGUUGGGGACGAUGACGAGGGCCCACGAGUAGCGUCCGGCACGUGACGCAAGCGCCGUUUGGAACACCAGCUUCUCUGCUCCUUCCCAGGUGACGUCCUCCUCUGCUCCUUCCCCCACCGUCGUCCUCCUUUGCUACUGGGCAGCGACUGGCUGCUGCCCCUGCUCCCCUCGCCCCGCAUAGUCAAGGAGAAGGGUAGCAACGAGGAGGGACCGCCACGGCGCGCGUUGAGGGAGAAGAACGUCGUCUCAAUCCUGGCUGAAACUUUAACUCCUUUUUUUAUGAUGAGAACAUGAUGCUCCUUUUAGCAUUACUUCAUUUUUAAACAGGUCUCAAUCAUGGCUGAAACUUUAACUCCUCUUUCUGAUGAGAACAUGAUGCUAUCUUGAUGUAGAUUAAUUCACCAUGGCAUCUUGUUUUAACAUACAGUUUUUUCUCUAAACAUGAAAAUCUAUACGUACAGAUAUACAUAACCCUGAAGCUGAGUGAUGUUAAAUUAGACUGAAGUUUACUAAGUACCCUUUAUAUAAAUAAAUGCAAUUUUUCCUCUGAACCAAACAUCAAACAACACAAUAGCAGCCAACCACAAGUUUCAUUCAAUCAAUAGUCUAUUUAUGGUACCCUCAAGCAUAAAGGAUUUACCUUGACUACCCGAAGUUAUCUGAAUCUGAAAGGAGAAUGGAUUUGCUCACCUAAGCUCUAGGGCGUGGACAACGGCUGGUGAUGGCCUUCGGGUUUGGCGUGCUCCCACAAUGACCAUGGUGCCUCCUGGUGCCCCUCGACGCGCCUCCUGGUGCUCAUGGCCCUCCACCCCGACCUCGUGCUGACUGCCGCUCAUGGAGGGCCAUGUCUUCAGCUUGCUGCAGCUGCAUGCAUUGCGAUGAGAUGCGCGCCGGCUGGCACGGCUGCUGCUCCCCUCCUCCUGAUAAGCCAUAACCAUUUGCACACUUUAGAAUGAAAUUAAUUAGAAAUCUUGAUUGGGGG